ACAGUCCAGGGCAAGAAAACCCCAGUACCCCCACCAGAGAUCCUUUUUGGACUUAACACCAUAGGGGGCACUGGAGCUAGCAUGACCACCGGGCUACGAAGGACUCCCCAUUUGGUCAUCGUAUCCACUGCCUCGUACCCUCCAAGAGCUCCAUUAGGCAUUGCAUAUGGCCCUGGCAUGUUGGGUUGCCACAGGGUCAUGGCACC
rnacentral:misc_RNA from 1 species